CAACUUUCAACAACGGAUCUCUUGGUUCUGGCAUCGAUGAAGAACGCAGCGAAAUGCGAUAAGUAGUGUGAAUUGCAGAAUUCAGUGAAUCAUCGAAUCUUUGAACGCACAUUGCGCCCUUUGGUAUUCCAAAGGGCAUGCUUGUUCGAGCGUCAUUU
rnacentral:rRNA from 5 species